rnacentral:tRNA from 1 species
GGGGUUGUGGCUCAGCGGUAGAGCGCUCGUCUCACAUGUGCGGGACCCUGGGUUCGAUCCUCAGCACCACG